CAUCAACGUAGGAUGCCAUGACACAAUGCCUCGAAGGGAUUUAAAGGACCAUCUAGACACGCAAUGUAAAUUAAGAGAGGAACUGUGCACAUACUGCAAGCAAAGCAUGGCAUCUGUGAACCUGAAGGUAAAACCAAGAUACAAACAGAUACAUUAUAAUCAUUGCAAAAAUGUCUUCACGUUCUUACACAUACAAAAAGGCAACUUUCCAUGAAGGAGAUCUGUGGUUUCAUUGUAAGUCACUCUAGUUAUUAGAGGUGAAACAUCAAUGUAACCAAUGCCGGGCAUUUUACUGCUGAUAGCAGUUAGAAACACAAAAAAAUAUAUACCGUAUUUAUCGGCGUAUAACACGCACCGGCGUAUAACACGCACCUCAUUUUAAGAAGGAAAUUUCAGGGAAAAAAAACUUAAAGGACCACUAUAGUGCCAGGAAAACGAGUAUGUUUUCCUGGCACUAUAAUCAUGCGCCUCAGUACGUCUCCUCCCUCGAAAGGACCCCUCCGCCCGGGCUCUGGAGAGAGGAAGGGGUUAAACACUACCUUUCUCAGCGCCCGGACGAGGGCUUCCUCCCUCCUCUCCUCCUUGCCAGCGGCGUCAUCGGCUGAAUACACCGCGGCGGCGAGGCCUUGGCCCGCAUUCAGCCGGUCUCAUAGGAAAGCAUUUGCAAUGCUUUCCUAUGGACGCUGGCGUCUUCUCACUGUGAUUUUCACAGUGAGAAGCACGCAAGCGCCUCUAGCGGCUGUCAAUGAGACAGCCACUAGAGGCUCUGGAGGCUGGAUUAACCCUCAGUAUAAACAUAGCAGUUUAUCUGAAACUUCUAUGUUUAUUAAAAAAAAGGGUUAAUCCUAGAGGGACCUGGCACCCAGACCACUUCAUUAAGCUGAAGUGGUCUGGGUGCCUAGAGUGGUCCUUUAAAUUUCAAAUAAAGAACUUCUUACCCCCCUUUCUUACUCCCCCCUCCCCCUCUUACCCCCUUCUUACUCCGCCUCCCCCUCUUCUUACCCCCCUUUCUUACUUCCCCCUCCCCCUCUUACCCUCUUCUUACCCCCCUUUCUUACUCCCCCCUCCCCUUCUUCUUACUUCCCCCUCCCCCUCUUACCCCUUUCUUACUCCCCCCCCUCUUCUUACCCCCCUCACUCUUGUUACCCCCCCUCCCUGUUGCUAGCCCCCCCUCUCCUCUUCUUACCCCCCCUCCCCCUUCUUACCCCCCUCCUGUCUCUUAAUCCCCCUCCCCUUCUCUUGCUCCCCCCUCCCCCUCACUCUUACUCCCCCACUCCCCCUCUUCUUACUCCCCCCCUCUUCUUACCCCCUCCCCUGUAGCGUGGCCGAGCUGCUCUGCUGUCCGCGGUGGCCGGCCGGAGUGAUAGGAAGGUGCACGCUCAGUGUGCACCUUCCUGUCAGUCCGACUGGGUACAGGAAACAGAAACUCCUGUUCCGCGCGGAACAGGAGUUUCUGUUUCCUGUACCAGGUCGGACUGAUAGGAAGGUGCACACUGAGCGUGCACCUUCCUAUCACUCCGGCCGGCCACCGCGGACAGCAGAGCGGCUCGGCCACGCUACAGGGGAGGUGAGUACCAACUGCAGCUGCCUGAGCGCUCUUGACAGAGCGCUCAGGCGGCUGCAGUAUUUAAAGGGCCGGCGUAUAACACGCACCCACAAUUUCUCCCCUGUUUUCAGGGAGAAAAAGUGCGUGUUAUACGCCGAUAAAUAUGGUAUAUAUCCACAAUGUGGUGUAGAGAGAAAAACUACUGUUGGACUUUGGGAAGAAGCUCAGAGAAAUCAUGCUUCCACAACUAUCCCAGAAUUCCUAGCUUGACAUGCAAAUGAGCACAGACAGACCUUGUGUUUCAGACUUAACCCUGCAUAUCAGCAGGUACCCUUAGCGACUGACGCUGUUUUAAACACACACAAACACAGCUUUUUUUAAACCAUAGCAUGGGUUUUGAUCCAAAAGAACCAGUGGCUAAAUAUUCAAGUAAUGCGCAUUUAUCUAUACAGUAACAGUAAUGGUAGUAGUGUGUAUAUCGCUAUAUCUAAGCAUCUCUGCAAAUUACUCUGCUGUUUGGCGGUAUGGGUGUAGUGUUUAGAGAAGGCCUAGUUUUAAUUUUAUAAAUUUUGAGCGCCUCUGAAUGUAAUAUUAGACAUGUUCGGUAAUAUUCCUGGGGUGUAUGUAUUGAUUAACAGUAUCGGCCAGCAUGUCUUGCUAACUCUAUAUGUUGUAGCUUUGGCUGUUAGAAGACAGCACGGUUGAAAUACAUAUAUCCAUUUACUUUCUGUAACUUCGUCCAACUUUUUAUUUUGCUCAUCAUUUCUCAUUUAGAUUGUAAUCUCAAGAGCCAUCUCACUCUGUAAAUAGAGAUACAUAGAAUUUAUUAUAUCUAUGUUAAUGUGGAAAUGCAAUACUGCUAUGACUAUAUCAGAAUAGGAAGCUAGAUUCUAGUUACCCAGCAGGUAAGUGUGUAACCAUUCAAAAUGGUUUGACUACUUUCCUUAGAUGGCAAGUUGGCAGCAGGGUGUCCUGGAUCUUUAAGUAGCACAGCUGUAUCUAGUUUUAUUGUGGUUAAACGGCAUGUUUCAUGUAACAGUUUCUCAGCUCUGCAGAAAAUAUCGGCUUUAUAAACAAAACUGAUGUUAAUAUGUUUUACUGCAGUUAUAAUGUGCUGGAAGCAUAAUCGGCUUAUUUUCCUUGCAAACAUAUUUUAUUUUUAUUUAUUUAUUUUUCUCCCCCAGAUUCACGUUAAACAGUUUUGCCCUAUGUACCCAGUUGCAUGUCCUAACAACUGCCUUCAGGCAUGUCCGAGGGAUAAGGUAACCUUUGCUUUACAUAUUUUUCUCAGUAGAAUAUGUGAUUAGUUUAUGCUAAAAACUGAAUUCGAUUUUUAGCUUUUUUUCAUACCAGAGACUGAAUUAGACUUUCGAUCUGUUUUAAACUGACUCCGCCCUUUACCCAAAAAUUUGCAAUUAACACUUUUUUUUGAUGUUGUCAAUAAUUACAGCUUGAAGAUCACCUCUCUCUGUGUCCCGAAGCUGAACAAGAUUGUUCGUUUGCAAACUAUGGCUGUAAUGUCAAGGUA
rnacentral:lncRNA from 1 species